rnacentral:rRNA from 1 species
ACAAUGGGCGCAAGCCUGAUGCAGCGACGCCGCGUGCGGGAUGACGGCCUUCGGGUUGUAAACCGCUUUUGACUGGGAGCAAGCCCUUCGGGGUGAGUGUACCUUUCGAAUAAGCACCGGCUAACUACGUGCCAGCAGCCGCGGUAAUACGUAGGGUGCAAGCGUUAUCCGGAAUUAUUGGGCGUAAAGGGCUCGUAGGCGGUUCGUCGCGUCCGGUGUGAAAGUCCAUCGCUUAACGGUGGAUCUGCGCCGGGUACGGGCGGGCUGGAGUGCGGUAGGGGAGACUGGAAUUCCCGGUGUAACGGUGGAAUGUGUAGAUAUCGGGAAGAACACCAAUGGCGAAGGCAGGUCUCUGGGCCGUUACUGACGCUGAGGAGCGAAAGCGUG